rnacentral:rRNA from 1 species
CACGUAGGGGGCGAGCGUUGUCCGGAAUUACUGGGCGUAAAGGGCGCGCAGGCUGUUAUGCGAGUCUGCUGUGAAAUGUACCGGCUCAACCGGUGCCUUGCGGCGGAUACUGCAUAGCUGGAGUACUGGAGAGGGAAGUGGAAUUCCCGGUGUAGCGGUGAAAUGCGUAGAUAUCAGGAGGAACACCGAUGGCGAAGGCAGGUCUCUGGGCCACUACUGACGCUGAGAAGCGAAAGCAUGGGGAGCGAACAGGA